rnacentral:tRNA from 1 species
CAGCCCCGUGGUGGAGAUUCCACGUCAGAUUGCAAAUCUGAAGAUGCAGGGUGAAUACCUGUCGGGGCUU